CGAUUGUAGUCAUAUGCUUGUCUCAAAGAUUAAGCCAUGCAUGUCUAAGCACAAACCUUUACACGGUGAAGCUGCGAAUGGCUCAUUAGGCCACCCAUGAUUUCUUAGAUCGUACAAUCCUACUUGGAUAACUGCGGUAAUUCUGGAGCUAAUACAUGCCACAAAGCUCCGACCCCUAUGGGAAAGAGCGCGUUUAUUAGGUCAAAACCAAUCGGGCCCUCGCGGCCCGUAACUCUGAUGACUCUGGAUAACUUCGAGCUGAUCGCAUGGCCUCGUGCCGGCGACGUAUCUUUCAAGUGUGUGCCCUAUCAACUUUCGAUGGUACGUGAUAUGCCUACCAUGGUAGUAACGGGUAACGGGGAAUCAGGGUUCGAUUCCGGAGAGGGGGCAUGAGAAACGGCUACCACAUCCAAGGAAGGCAGCAGGCGCGCAAAUUACCCAAUCCCGACACGGGGAGGUAGUGACGAAAAAUAACAAUACGGGACUCUCUUGAGGCCCCGUAAUUGGAAUGAGUACACUUUAAAUCCUUUAACGAGGAUCAAUUGGAGGGCAAGUCUGGUA
rnacentral:rRNA from 1 species